CGGCUUUUAAAAAGGAAUAUGCUCUUUUCUUUAUGGUGACUAAGUCCUGCUAUUUAUCUUUAUAUAAUAUAAAUUGCUAUAUAUACAAGCAGUGAAAAAUUUUGAUUGUCGUUAUGAUGUUAUCGGAUUUGACUGCCUACUAGGCUCUAAAGAGCAAAUUAAUAAUAGUAUGCUGAUCAUAAAAAUCACAACUAAUAUUUCAUUUUCAAUAAUAAAUAGUAACAAGUGUGAUAUUGUAAACAAAAAUACAAUGAAAAUUGAAAAUAAUUUCAUCAUGAUAGUCAAUUAAAAGUAACAUACAUAUAUACCCAUGCCUGUUUAUAUGUCCGAGACAUAUUACUGUACUUUUUUUUUAUUAUUAUUAUCAUAAACCCGUAUGAUUUGCAGAACAUACAAAGCCAUUCUUCUCGACGACUCGAUACGGCAAUCCGUUAAUGAUAAUCGACCAUUAUCGAUACAACAAACGCAGCGAUAGCCGGGGCCCUCUCACUAAUUGGGUUUGCACAAAAAAGGAUCGCCAGUGCCGCGCUACUGCCGUCACUAUGGGAGAAACGUUAAUAAGACUUAAGAACUUCCAUAAUCACUGACAGAAUUAAAACCAGUAUUCACUAAGUCUAUAUGCGGUCAGCCAGUUAUUGAACUAGGCGGUCACAGAUAUAAUAAGCGCACUGACCGUCAUGGCCUACGUAUUACCUGGCGCUGUGUUAAGAGACGGAGUUUGAGUUGUCCUGCUCAAAUUAUCACUUACUGCAACGAAGUAAUUGAAAUAAAAAACUGCCACAAUCAUUGAAAUCCGUUUCCAAAGAAUCAAAAUCAGUAUUCAUCAAGUCUUUAUGCGGUUAUCCAGUUAUUGAACUAGGCGGUUACAGAUAUGGUAAGCGCCCUGACCGUCACGAUCAACGUAAUACGUGGCGCUGUAUCAAGAUACGGAGCUUAAGAACUGUCAUAAUCAUUGAAAAUUGCUGCCCAAUAUUGGUUAUAUAUAAAUUGAAUUAGAGGGAUUAAGUAUACAAUACUUAUUUAAUUGAUUUUGUUUAA
rnacentral:lncRNA from 1 species